rnacentral:lncRNA from 1 species
UUUUAUUUUAUUUUUUUUUUUUUUUUUGUCGUCGAUUGUAUUGAUUUCCAAAUUGGAAAAUUACAUGGUGAUCAGAGUCCAAUAAUACAAAACAUGCAAAGUUCAAAAUAGGCCCAAUAUAAAACAUUACAAAGCAAGAUAAGCUAGCCUCAUAAAAGACACGUAUUAAGACACGUGUUGUUUACUUGUUUUGCAAAUUGAAAGUGGAAGACGUCGAUUGACUCAUCCACAGAAGCUGAAGCGGUGGCUGAAUUUUUUGCCGACGAGAGUUAUCACCUAUUCCAGCUGCUUUCUCCGAUUCACCAUAACACCACCUUUUGCUAAAAUUUCCGAAGGUUUAGAAAAGAGAUUCAUGAUUCAUCUAAUUUAUGGAUCACCGGAAAACAUAGCUUGGCAAGAGAUCAAAUCAGUCGCAAAACACGCUCUCCUGAUAAGUUAUAUACCAAUCACUGAAUUCCACUCAUCAAGAUUCCCAGACAAAAAGAGAACCUGCAUCCAUAACCGAUUAUACGGUUUCAUAAGGGUAUGAGGGUUUAUCUCAUUUUGCAAGAGAAUCAAGCAAACGAUGAAUUUUGAAUCUCUGAACAAAACUCCGGCGUUUAUCUCCUCUAGAAUAGAAGAGAAUUUGCUGCUGCAAAAGGGGAGAAAACUAGUAAAAACAAACAACAAAAUAGCUAAAAUAGCUAAACAAAACACUCGCACUAAGACGAGAAGAUACAAAUCUGGACUUAGCCAGAAAAGAACCGAUUUUAAUCGGAAUAUCAAAAAGAUAACUAGCUUUCUCUCUCUAAAACAUACUAUUUUUAUUUAUCUUUGAAUAAUUAACUUCUAAACAAUACUUUGCCCAAAUCUAUUUAAUUCGCU